rnacentral:rRNA from 1 species
UUAACACAUGCAAGUCGAACGGUGUCUUCGGACAUAGUGGCGGACGGGUGAGUAACGCGUGAGAAUCUAGCUUCAGGUCUGGGACAACCACUGGAAACGGUGGCUAAUACCGGAUGUGCCGGAAGGUGAAAGGCUUGCUGCCUGAAGAUGAGCUCGCGUCCGAUUAGCUAGUAGGUGGGGUAAGAGCCUACCUAGGCGACGAUCGGUAGCUGGUCUGAGAGGAUGACCAGCCACACUGGGACUGAGACACGGCCCAGACUCCUACGGGAGGCAGCAGUGGGGAAUUUUCCGCAAUGGGCGAAAGCCUGACGGAGCAAUACCGCGUGAGGGAGGAAGGCUCUUGGGUUGUAAACCUCUUUUCUCAGGGAAGAACACAAUGACGGUACCUGAGGAAUCAGCAUCGGCUAACUCCGUGCCAGCAGCCGCGGUAAUACGGAGGAUGCAAGCGUUAUCCGGAAUGAUUGGGCGUAAAGCGUCCGCAGGUGGCUGUGUAAGUCUGCUGUCAAAGAGCAAAGCUCAACUUUGUAAAGGCAGUGGAAACUACACGGCUAGAGUGCGUUCGGGGCAGAGGGAAUUCCUGGUGUAGCGGUGAAAUGCGUAGAGAUCAGGAAGAACACCGGUGGCGAAGGCGCUCUGCUAGGCCGCAACUGACACUGAGGGACGAAAGCUAGGGGAGCGAAUGGGAUUAGAUACCCCAGUAGUCCUAGCCGUAAACGAUGGAUACU